rnacentral:rRNA from 1 species
CAAAAAGGGGAAGAGGAGGACAUUACCGAGUUUACAACUCCCAAACCCAAUGUGAACAUUACCUCGACGUUGCCUCGGCGGGACCGCCCCGGCGCCCUCACCGGCACCGGAACCAGGCGCCCGCCGCAGGGACCCAAACCUCUGUUUUAUUAUGAAUUCUCCUCUGAGUGGAUUUUAUACAAAUAAAUCAAAACUUUCAACAACGGAUCUCUUGGCUCUGGCAUCGAUGAAGAACGCAGCGAAAUGCGAUAAGUAAUGUGAAUUGCAGAAUUCAGUGAAUCAUCGAAUCUUUGAACGCACAUUGCGCCCGCCAGCAUUCUGGCGGGCAUGCCUGUCCGAGCGUCAUUUCAACCCUCAGGCUCCCGCGCCUGGCGUUGGGGAUCGGCCUUCACCGGCCGGCCCCGAAAUACAGUGGCGGCCCCGCCGUAGACCUCCUCUGCGUAGUAGCACACACCUCGCAGCCUGGGAGCGCGGCGGCGGCCACGCCGGAAAACCCCCGACUUCUGAAAGUUGACCUCGGAUCAGGUAGGAAUACCCGCUGAACUUAAGCAUAUCAAUAAGCGGAGGAAAGUAGCCCCCCUCUACUUAACUUUUUCUCCGGGAAAAAACGAGGAACCCUCACGAGGGGCCCAUGCAAAAAGAUCGUCGCGCCGUUGCUGACGUGUUGAACACAAAGGCCGAUCGACCCCACGACCCUAGACUAGACCCUGU